rnacentral:rRNA from 1 species
GACGAACGCUGGCGGCGUGCUUAACACAUGCAAGUCGAACGGAAAGGCCCUGCUCUUGUGGGGUGCUCGAGUGGCGAACGGGUGAGUAACACGCGAGUAACCUGCCCUUGACUUUGGGAUAACUUCAGGAAACAGGGGCUAAUACCGGAUAGGAGCUCCUGAUGCAUGGGGGGGGAUGGAAAGUUUCGGCGGUUGGGGAUGGACUCGCGGCUUAUCAGCUUGUUGGUGGGGUAGGGGCUUACAAAGGCUUUGAAGGGUAGCCGGCCUGGGAGGGUGACCGGCCACAUUGGGACUGAGAGACGGCCCAGACUCCUACGUGAGGCAGCAGUGGGGAAUAUUGCACAAUGGGCGGAAGCCUGAUGCAGCAACGCCGCGUGCGGGAUGACGGCCUUCGGGUUGUGAACCGCUUUCGCCUGUGACGAAGCGUGAGUGACGGUAAUGGGUAAAGAAGCACCGGCUAACUACGUG